AGAGUUUGAUCCUGGCUCAGGACGAACGCUGGCGGCGUGCUUAACACAUGCAAGUCUAAGGAGAAAGUUCCUUCGGGAAUGAGUAAACUGGCGAACGGGUGAGUAACGCGUAGGUAACCUACCCUUAAGCUCGGGAUAACUCACCGAAAGGUGAGCUAAUACCGGAUAAUAUCUUUCCUCAUAAGGGGUAAAGAUCAAAGGUGGCUUCGGCUAUCACUUAUGGAUGGGUCUGCGUCUGAUUAGCUAGUUGGUAAGGUAAUGGCUUACCAAAGCAAUGAUCAGUAGCUGGUCUGAGAGGGCGAUCAGCCACAUUGGGACUGAGAUACGGCCCAGACUCCUACGGGAGGCAGCAGUGGGGAAUUUUGCGCAAUGAGCGAAAGCUUGACGCAGCAACGCCGCGUGAUCGAAGAAGCUCUGCGGAGUGUAAAGAUCUGUCAUAGGGGAAGAUAAGUCCCGUUAUUAACACAAUCGGGAUGUGACGGUACCCUAUAAGAAAGCCCCGGCUAACUUCGUGCCAGCAGCCGCGGUAAUACGAGGGGGGCAAGCGUUGUCCGGAUUUAUUGGGCGUAAAGAGUUCGUAGGCUGGUUGGUCAGUCGAAAUUGAAAUCCCACGGCUUAACCGUGGUGCCGGUUUCGAUACUGCCAAUCUUGAGUGAGGUAGAGGUAAGCGGAAUUCCUGGUGUAGCGGUGAAAUGCGUAGAUAUCAGGAGGAACACCAAAGGCGAAGGCAGCUUACUGGACCUAUACUGACGCUGAGGAACGAAAGCGUGGGGAGCAAACAGGAUUAGAGACCCUGGUAGUCCACGCCGUAAACGAUGAGUACUUGGUGGUGGGGGAUUCGACCCCUUCACUGUCGGAGCUAACGCGUUAAGUACUCCGCCUGGGAACUACGACCGCAAGGUUGAAACUCAAAGGAAUUGACGGGGGCCCGCACAAGCGGUGGAACAUGUGGUUUAAUUCGAUGCAACGCGAAGAACCUUACCUGGUCUUGACAUCCUCGGACCGCUUCAGAGAUGAAGUUUCCUCUUCGGAGGCCGAGUGACAGGUGCUGCAUGGCUGUCGUCAGCUCGUGUCGUGAGAUGUUGGGUUAAGUCCGAUAACGAGCGCAACCCCUAUCCUUAGUUGCCAGCACGUAAUGGUGGGGACUCUAGGGAAACUGCCCGGGAUAACCGGAAGGAAGGUGGGGUCGACGUCAAGUCAGUAUGUCCCUUACGUUCAGGGCUACACACGUAAUACAAUGGGGAGUACAGAGGGUAGCAAAACUGCGAAGUGGAGCCAAUCCCAAAAAACUCCCCCAAGUUCGGAUUGCAGUCUGCAACUCGACUGCAUGAAGCAGGAAUCGCUAGUAAUCGCGCAUCAGCACGGCGCGGUGAAUACGUUCCCGGGUCUUGUACACACCGCCCGUCACGCCAUGGAAGCCGGUAGCACCCAAUGUCAGUGUCCUAACCUUCGGGAAGGAGCUGCUUAAGGUGAGAUUGGUAACUGGGGCGAAGUCGUAACAAGGUAACC
rnacentral:rRNA from 1 species